rnacentral:rRNA from 1 species
AAUGUUUCGCAAUCAGGCGCGCCCCCGCCGGAUCAACCCCGCGUGAGGGAGGAAGGCCCUUGGUUGGUAAACCUCUYUUUUCAGGGARGAAAWAUUAGACGCUACCUGACGAAUAAGCCUCGGCUAACUCUGUGCCAGCACACGCGGUAAUACGGAGGGGGCAAGCGUUAUCCUGAAUUAUUGGGCGUAAAGCGUCCGCAGGUGGCGAUUUAAGUCUGCUGUCAAAGACCCCAGCUCAACCCCGGAAAGGCAGUGGAAACUGCGCGGCUAGAGUGCGGUAGGGGUAGAGGGAAUUCCCGGUGUAGCGGUGAAAUGCGUAGAGAUCUGGAAGAACACCGGUGGCGAAAGCGCUCUUCUGGGCCGCAACUGACACUCAGGGACGAAAGAUAGGGGAGCGAAAGGGAUUAGAUACCCCUGUAGUCCUCGCCCUUUACGAUGGAUACUAGGUGUUGCACGUAUCGACCCGUGCAGUGCCGCAGC